GGAAAGAGAGAAGGAGAGACAGAGGAGACUGUGCUGAGAUGUUUAGAGAGAGGAUUUCGGGAUUCAAGCUGCAGCAAUAUUAACGAGGAAAGGAGGGUAGGGCAGCCCAGAAAACAAACGAGCUCUCACGUGAGUUUCAAAAGAGACGGAGUAGAAGACACACAAACAUUCCUAAUUCCUUGCCUUGGCUGGAUAACACGGCUGCAAAAGUAGCCCAAGCCAAGACACCUAGAUGCUCUUCACUGGCCCCUCUCCUUAAAGAAAGCCCAGUUCUAGAAGAAAACCAGAACCGUCCACCAAAUGGCACAGGGCGCCCGUGACAGCGCCAGUGGAAUGUGGCCGUAGGUACCAGCCAAAAAGACAAACCGAGCGACCCUCUUCAGUAGCAACGAGGAGCAAAGCUUCCAGAUGCACUCACUUGGUUUCCGUGAACACAGGCUGGAGGUUGGGGGUGCGUAUAGACUAAAUGAUGC